UUUCUUAAUAACUGACCUCUCUACGAUCUGUGAAACUUCUAAAAUUCCAAAAUAAAACACGGAAUCUUUGGUUAUCCAAGAACAUAUAUUUUAAAUUUCAAUAGAAAAUAAUCUUCAUUUAAGAAACAAGAGCUGUGUCCCUCUUAUAUGCCUACACAUUGCAAUAAACAAGGAACUCUUAUGAGACCUGGCCUCAUGCCUAGGAAUAAAAUUUUUCUUCUCUCCUUACUCUCUUAUUUUGGGUGCUUUAACUAGCCUUCUUUCAGUCAUUUCUUUCUAAGUAAUCUCUUCUUAGUUCUUCCAUUUCCCUUAGCUUUCUACCUGCCAGAAAAGCCUCAGGGCUCUUAAUGUUGUUGGAUCAUAGACUACUUUUUUGAUAAAGUUAUGAAUAAAAUUAUCACUCCAGGAAAAAUACACAGUAAAUACAUUUCAUAUUAUGUCAAAGGUUAAGAGUUCAAAAUCUCUAGACUUUGAAUCCUUGGGGACAAAACCUAGGCUUUUCAUCCUCAUAUCUCCAACACUGUAGUUGUGAUCUGUUGAGUAUAUAUGUAAGGAAACAUAUGCCCACGUAUAUGUGCAUAUGAGUACAUGUCUAGAAAACUUAUCAGAAAGACAUCAUUGGUAGUGAGCUGCCUGACAUCAGAGUCACUAAGCCAUGUGGUGGCUGAGUAGUUGAAACUCUCCUAAUUAUAAAUACAUAUUCAGUCUGACAGACAAGUACAAACAAAAGACAGUAAGAUGUCUUAUUAAUAAUUUUUGUAUUUGUUGCAUAUUGAUAGUGUCUUACAUUGAGCUUAACAUAUUAUCUAAAUUAAUUUUAUCUAAAAUAUUUACAAUUACUUGUCUAGCUGCUCUAGAAGAUCAGUAUCCAAGUUAAUUCAUUAGCAUGAAUUUUUAAAAAUAGUAGUUUCUUUUGGUGGUACUUUGGUUCGAAUUUAGGGUUUUGUGCUUGCUAGACAGGUGUUCUACCACUUAAGCUUCACUUGUAGGCCAUUUUGCUUUUGUUUAUCUUUUUAUAGCUCAGGUCUUGGGUUUUUGUCCUGCAUUGCCUGAUUGGACCAUGAUCUUCCUACCAAGUCUCUUGCAUAGCUGGGACCACAGUUGUACACUGCCAUACCCAGAUUAUUGGUUGUAAUAAGGGUCUUGCUAACUCCUUCUCCACCCCAGGCUGACCUCAAACCAUGAUCCUUCGGAUCGCUGCCUCCUAAGUAGCUGGCAUUGCCAGUGUGAGCCACCAGGGCCAGCCAAAAAUAGUGCUUUUAAAAUUUCUCAGAUCUGUUGGAUGGAAGUUUUUAAGAUCAUCACCUUCACUUGCAUAGUGCUGCCUACUCCUCCUAUCCCUCGCCCCUACACAAAGUAGAACUUUACCAUGCUUUUAAUGAUACUGCUAGAUUUUUCCUACUAUCAUGAGUGGACCUGGAACAAAAAGGCUGUGGAAGCAAGUUAUUUUUUCUAAUGAAAAGAAGCAACACAGUGACUAAUGUAAAUUGGAGGAUACAGUGUUUUCUUUGGAAUGUUUUGGUUCUAGCAUUUCAAACAGGUGUGGCUGCUGUUGGAGGGAACAUCAGACACAUCUUCAGCUUCUUUGACAUAGGAAGAACUAGAAAAUGGAUAUCUCCUGCUUCUGUAGAAUGGAUGUAGGAGCUGUCAAAUAUUCAUUAUAAAAAAUCCUAAUCAUAAGGGGACUUUUUGCAUGCUUGUUUUAUUCUUACUGGAUUAGGACAGAAAUAACAUCCAUGCUUAGAGGCUUCUUCGCUUAACUCUGACAUAAGAUAACCAUAAAGUAGCCUCAUUCUUUUCCUCUCUUUCUUUUUCUCUUCUUCCUUCCCCUCUGACUCCCCCUGCCUCCAUCUUGUGCGGACUGGCAGUUUGCCACCCCACCAAAAAAGUAGCCUCACAAUGUCCUCUUUUGCAUUAAGAAUUCCAGAGCAAGAUUUGCUGUGGAUUACUGAGAAUAAUCAUAUUAAUUAGAAGUCAGCCCUCUUUGAUUAGUGCCGACUUCUUUCCUUGUAGACAGAGUGGAAUGCCCACUUGCAGAGGCUGGCUGCAGUAAUGGAGAGCACAAACCAGUUGCCUUAGUGCAGAGGUGGACUGCUGGCUGCAGUGGCUUGAGGCUGGGUAGUGAGCGUGGGAUGUCAGAAAUGCAAUCUGCAGUUAUGUAAAUAACUGGAGGGGGGGGACCAUGCUCAUGGUUACUAGUUUAUUCCAACGAAAGCCAACCAUUUUGCCAUUUGGGGAAUGAAUACCUCAGAUUGUCAAUGCUCCAUU